GGGCCUCUCCCAGGACGUCGCCCGACACUGCAUGAUCCAGGCCCAGCUGCUGGCCUACAGGACGGAGGACCCCAAAGUCGGAGUUGGUGCUGUGAUCUGGGCUGAAGAAAAGUCUGUGAGUGAUUUUUUCAAUGUCAUCGCAGCCAUCGGCCAUCUGUAAAUAAUGUUCCAGAGUUUAUCUUUCUUUCAUCACUGUGUGGUAGUUAUGUGUUGUGGGGGAAAUUCCCUGGAGAGUUGGUUCCACAUUAUUCUUAGGGGUCCUGUAAAUUUAUCACAGCCCACAUUUAGCUCCUUCCCGCAACUAUUCCCCAUUUUAACAAUUACAGAAAGGUACCAACCUGAAAUGAGUCUUAAGGCCUUACGAGAUCUCCGGUCCCGGACCGGUGCGUUCAUCAACACAUAGGCACGCCCUACACCCGGUGUAGUCUGCCCAAGUCUCGUUCUCGUUGCUGUGGGGUUGAGUAUUCCUCAGUAUUCAGAUCUCAUAUCGCUUCCUCCUCCCGAAGGCCUUUCCAGUCCCGGGCUGGUGAGACUCAGCCCCUUCUGAGACAGAAACGAGUUAGAGACCCUGCCAACUACGCCAAGUUACUGUGGGGGAAAUUCCCUGGAGAGACGUCUUGCAAGCAACCUUUCCCGUUUAAAAGAACCCAGUUCUUUCACAGCAAGGAGAGCUACAAUAAUACAAACUUUAUUAAUACUGCAGGAAAACAAAGCACGGAGAAUGCUUUAUAUCAUUACACAUCCUAAGUUAUCACAUGAAUACAUGAUUGGUGAAAGCCAAUCAUCUUCAUACAGUGUUUCAGUACUUUUCCAUCACACGUUGUACUCCUGGGCCCACAUCUGCUCUUUAAGUCAUGUAACAUUUGUUUUGCGAUUAACACACUGCUACAGCAACUACAAAGCUUACUUUAUCAUCCGUCUUUCCUCCUUAGGCUGGUUAAGGAGGAACCGACCUUGGGUGCGAUUCUUCCUCAUUUUUUAGGAUCAUAAUCAAGCACAUGAGCGCACCCAACAAUGGAAGAGUGUUCUGCUUUAUCUCCUGCACGUAUGCCUAUGUGACGUAAGCUCUGGCAGAGCACUCACCCCUCCCUUACAUUUUUGCUGGUUAUCUGUCACAAGCAGAAUUUAUUCUCUUAAGCAGUUUUCUAACUAUAUGCAUUGUACAUGUCUGGAUACAUAUAUCCUAGGUUCCAUUGUACUACAUUAUAUGGCAAAUGGUUGGCAUUUAUAUAGCGCCUUUAUCCAAAGUGCUGUACAAUUGAUGCUUCUCAUUCACCCAUUCAUACACACACUCACACACACACACACACACUCACACACUCACACACUCACACACCAACAGCGAUUGGCAGCCAUGCAAGGCACCGACCAGCUCGUCAGGAGCAUUUGGGGGUUAGGUGUCUUGCACAGGGACACUUCGACACAGCCCGGGCGGGGGAUCGAACCGGCAACCCUCCGACAGCCAGACGACUGUUCUUACUGCCUGAGCCAUGUCGCCCCAUUUUUUCUCCCACAGCGUGUGUUCCCGCGGCGGAUUGAAAGUGGCGUGUUGAAGGAGUGCUGAGAUUAAGGAGGAUGAGAACCCCCUGUGAUGAGUGUGUACCUGUGAUAGUGGGCGCUGGAAUUAAACAGGUGUACACCAUAGGCCCGAGCACAGAAAAAAAAAAAGAAGAAAAAAAAGACCUCUCCUACAAAAGAUUUGUCGAACUACAGGGUGUACAGAAGUUUAUGUGGCAGAAAACACCACAAGCCGAAGACCUUCCAUAACCGCCCGAACAGACAUGAUCAAUAUGCCGGUUGAUAUUGAUUCCCAGUACUGGUUUGAACUCACCAUCGCGGGUGCAGGACAGAGGACAACAUGACGACAUUCCAGUCUGUCUCUCAAAGGCAAUAUUCAGACUAGUUAUCCGACAGGUCUGUUAAAUAGGAUCUGAACCAUGACAGUGCCCCUGUAGGGGAAAAUUCACAGAACGAAAGAUCUCCCUCCUAAAAGCAUGAUAACCAAUCACAAGUCAAAAUCAGACUCCACCUUAGUGAGCAGGCUGGUUCCUCCAAAACUCGACGAUGUGUGCUAAAAGUUUAUCAAUAUAUCUGUAUUAAAGUAUGAUAUGUACCCUGUAUAGUUUCAAACUGAUUAACUGCUAAAUUGUGCUAGGAUUACACAGUGAGCCCAGCCAGCUGGCAGG